AAGAACAACCGAGUGAGAGGGAGAGAAAACUGUGAGUGAGAGAGAGAAAAGAGAGCUCAACUUUUAAAGAAGGAAACCCAAAGUUGUGCUGGAAAUUGUAAAGGAAGAAGAAGACUCAAGGGGAAAUCAUCAAUAAUCUUUGAAAUUAGAGCUUGCGGGUCAAACGUAGGGACGAAUCAAGCACCAGAACACUGUGAUCAGGCGCGUGACCAGGCUUAGAGGCAUCUGCCUGUAAUCUAUUUUUUCAGCCAACCUAUGUGUCUCCCAUGGAUGUUCCAGAUAUGUCAAGUGACUAGGGCUAUGUGAUUUAAAGUUUAAGUUUUGUUUUCUUGUUUCGUUAAACAAGUCUUGUGUAUUUUGUAAAUAGGGCUAAGUCCCUUUUUGUCUAAUCUGUAUAUAUAUAAUGAC